CCUACGGGUGGCAGCAGUGAGGAAUAUUGGUCAAUGGACGAGAGUCUGAACCAGCCAAGUAGCGUGAAGGAUGACUGCCCUAUGGGUUGUAAGCUUCUUUUAUAUGGGAAUAAAAUGUUCCACGUGUGGGAUUUUGUAUGUACCAUAUGAAUAAGGAUCGGCUAACUCCGUGCCAGCAGCCGCGGUAAUACGGAGGAUGCGAGCGUGAUCCGGAUUUAGUGGGUGGAAAGGGGGCGUAGGUGGAUUGUUAAGUCAGUUGUGAAAGUGUGCGGCUCAACCGUAAAAUUGCAGUUGAAACUGGCAGUCUUGAGUACAGUAGAGGUGGGCGGAAUUCGUGGUGUAGCGGUGAAAUGCUUAGAUAUCACGAAGAACUCCGAUUGCGAAGGCAGCUCACUGGACUGCAACUGACACUGAGGCUCGAAAGUGUGGGUAUCAAACAGGUUUAGAUACCCGAGUAGUC
rnacentral:rRNA from 1 species